CCCCUAGUAACUGCGAGUGAAGAGGGAAAAGCUCAAAUUUUGAAUCUGGUGGUCUUUCGGGGCCAUCCGAGUUGUAAUCUAGAGAAGUGUCUUCCGCGCUGGACCGUGUACAAGUCUCCUGGAAGGGAGCAUCAUAGAGGGUGAGAAUCCCGUCUCUGACACGGACCCCCAGUGCUAUGUGAUGCACUCUCGACGAGUCGAGUUGUUUGGGAAUGCAGCUCAAAACGGGUGGUAAAUUCCAUCUAAAGCUAAAUACAGGCGAGAGACCGAUAGCGAACAAGUACCGUGAGGGAAAGAUGAAAAGAACUUUGGAAAGAGAGUUAAACAGUACGUGAAAUUGCUGAAAGGGAAACGCUUGAUGUCAGUCGCGUCCCCCAGGGAUCAACCUCGCUUUAAUCGGCUGGGCGCAUUUCCUGGUGCGGACGGGUCAGCAUCAGUUUCUGUCGGCGUAGAAUGGCCAAGGGAAMGUGGCACCUCUAGGGGUGUGUUAUAGACMUCGGUCGCUAUGCGUCGGUGGMACUGAGGAACUCGGCAUG
rnacentral:rRNA from 1 species